rnacentral:rRNA from 1 species
UACAGAGGUCUCAAGCGUUGUUCGGAUUCAUUGGGCGUAAAGGGUGUGUAGGUGGCGCGUUAAGUCGGGGGUGAAAUCCUGGAGCUCAACUCCAGAACUGCCUUCGAUACUGGCGAUCUCGAGUUCGGGAGAGGUGAGUGGAACUGCGAGUGUAGAGGUGAAAUUCGUAGAUAUUCGCAAGAACACCAGUGGCGAAGGCGGCUCACUGGCCCGAUACUGACGCUGAGGAGCGAAAGCGUGGGUAGCGAACAGG